CCUACGGGAGGCAGCAGUGAGGAAUAUUGGUCAAUGGGCGAGAGCCUGAACCAGCCAAGUCGCGUGAGGGAGUACUGCCCUAUGGGUUGUAAACCUCUUUUGUCGGGGAGCAAAAGCCGGACGUGUCCGGCUGUGAGAGUACCCGAAGAAAAAGCAUCGGCUAACUCCGUGCCAGCAGCCGCGGUAAUACGUAGGGUGCAAGCGUUAUCCGGAUUUAUUGGGCGUAAAGGGCUCGUAGGCGGUUCGUCGCGUCCGGUGUGAAAGUCCAUCGCUUAACGGUGGAUCCGCGCCGGGUACGGGCGGGCUUGAGUGCGGUAGGGGAGACUGGAAUUCCCGGUGUAACGGUGGAAUGUGUAGAUAUCGGGAAGAACACCAAUGGCGAAGGCAGGUCUCUGGGCCGUUACUGACGCUGAGGAGCGAAAGCGUGGGGAGCGAACAGGAUUAGAUACCCGAGUAGUC
rnacentral:rRNA from 1 species